UUCAUGAAAAUUAAAAAAUUUGGCGGUAUUUUAGUCUUUUCAGAGGAACCUGUUCUAUAAUUGAUAGUCCACGAUUAAAUAUACUUAUUUUAGUAAUUUAUAUAUCGUCGUAGUUUGAAUAUUUUAACAUUUAAUAUUAUCAGAUCAAGGUGUAGUUUAUAAAUAAGAAGAAAUGGGUUACAAUUAAAAUUUUUGAAAUUGGAUUUGAAAGUAAGCUCUAAAAUAUGUACAUAUUGCCCGUCGCUUUUGUUUUAAAAUGAAAUAAGUCGUAACAAAGUAGAUUUACUGGAAAGUGAAUCUAGAAUACAAAUUAGAGUUUGUUAAGCAUUUUAUUUACAUUAAAAAGAAAAUUAUUAAUUUAAUUUAAUUUGAAUAGAAAUUAUUAUUAAAUUUAUUUAUUUAUUUUUAUUAAAAAAAAUAGUUAUUAUUUUAUUUUUAUAAAGAAAAAAUAUAAUUAUAGGUUAUUAGUAUUGUGAAAGAAUAAAUUUAUAUAUUUAAAAGAAAAAUUAAAUUUUUGUACCUGGGGAUCAGGGUUAAUUAAUAGAAUUUUCUCGAAUUUAAAAGAGUUAAUUUAAUUGUGAAAUAAAUUUUUAUAAUAAAUAAUUAGUAAUGAAACGUUAUUCGUUUUUAAAUAUAUCUAGUUUUUAAAGAAAAAAAUUUAAUUUUAUUAUUAAUAGUUAAAAUUUUUAGGGAUAAGCUUAUUAAGAAAAUAAUUAUAAUUAAAUUAUAUAUAUAAAUUUAUAGAAUUAAAAUUUUUUAUUGAUAAGAAAAUGUUAUAAUUAAUUAAUUUAAAUUUUAUAUUUAAAUUUAUAUUUUAAUUUAAAAAAUUUAGUAAUUAUGAUUAAAUUAGUAAGGUUAAUUUAAGGAAUUCGGCAAAUUUAUUUUUCACCUGUUUAUUAAAAACAUGUCUUUUUGAUUAUAAUUUAAAGUCUAAUCUGCCCACUGAUUGAAUGGCCGCGGUAUUUUGACCGUGCAAAGGUAGCAUAAUAAUUAGUUUUUUAAUUGGAAGCUGGUAUGAAUGAUUGAAUGAGAAAAUAACUGUCUCUAGAAUUUUAUUUUUAAGUAAAAAAGCUUAAAUAAAGUUAGAAGACGAGAAGACCCUAUAGAGUUUUUUUAUUGGGGUGAUAAAAAAAUUAAUUAAACUUUUUUUGUUUAUGAUUAUUUGAUCCAUGAUUAAAAGAUUAAAUUACCUA
rnacentral:rRNA from 1 species